rnacentral:rRNA from 1 species
AGGACGAACGCUGGCGGUGCGCCUAACACAUGCAAGUCGAACGGUGAACCGGGCUUCGGCCCGGGGAUCAGUGGCGAACGGGUGCGUAACACGUGGGCAACCUGCCCCCGACCCUGGGAUAACCCCGGGAAACCGGAGCUAAUACCGGAUACUCUCCUCUGACCACCUGGUCGGAUGAGGAAAGGUCCGCCGGUCGGGGAUGGGCCCGCGGCCUAUCAGCUUGUUGGUGGGGUAACGCCUACCAAGGCAUCGACGGGUAGCUGGUCUGAGAGGACGACCAGCCACACUGGGACUGAGACACGGCCCAGACUCCUACGGGAGGCAGCAGUGGGGAAUCUUGCGCAAUGGGCGAAAGCCUGACGCAGCGACACCGCGUGGGGGAUGAAGGCCUUUCAGGUCGUAAACCCUUUCGGCAGGGACGAAGCGAUCUCGUGACGGUACCUGCAGAAGAAGCCUCGGCUAACUACGUGCCAGCAGCCGC